ACCUGUUCAUAGUUAUAAGAACAAUGAGCAACAUCACUAUACAAUGGACAAUCAUUACUCAAAUGUAAACCACAACAAAAUUCAUAAAAAACUUGAGAUGAAAGGAUAGGAGAGGAGAGUUGAUCGGUAGCCCUACAAAACGAUUCCACUCGAGCUUCUAAAGAUGCACGGGUAUCCCAAUUUUUAGCACUCUCUUGGUUCC
rnacentral:lncRNA from 1 species